rnacentral:rRNA from 1 species
UACGAGGGGUGCGAGCGUUGCUCGGAAUUAUUGGGCGUAAAGGGUAGGUAGGUGGUUUCGUUUGUCUGGGGUGAAAGCCUUGAGCUUAACUCAAGAAGUGCCUCGGAAACGGCGAAACUCGAGUACUGGAGAGGGUCGUGGAAUUCCCGGUGUAGCGGUGAAAUGCGUAGAUAUCUGGAGGAAUACCGGUGGCGAAGGCGGCAUCCUGGACCAUUACUGACGCUGAGGCGCGAAAGCUAGGGGAGCAAACGGG